rnacentral:rRNA from 1 species
CUACACGGGUAUCUAAUCCUGUUUGAUCCCCACGCUUUCGCGCCUCAGCGUCAAUCUUCGUCCAGGUGGUCGCCUUCGCCACCGGUGUUCCUCCCAAUAUCUACGAAUUUCACCUCUACACUGGGAAUUCCACCACCCUCUCCGAGAUUCUAGCCGGACAGUUUCAGCUGCACUUCCAAGGUUGAGCCCUGGGCUUUCACAGUUGACUUAUCUGGCCGCCUACGCGCCCUUUACGCCCAAUGAUUCCGAACAACGCUUGCACCCUCUGUCUUACCGCGGCUGCUGGCAC